GGUGCACAGGGGGAUAAAGAAUUGACGACCAUUACCGACUGUCCCUAGAGCAAGUGGCAAAGGGCUUGGUGGUUGGUACCCGAGACCCAAGUUCGAAUCCUAGUUGAUUCACAUUUCUUGCUAAGUUUAUUUCUAAAUGAAAUAAACGAAGCGGGUAGCAUGCUACCUAUCUCUCAAAAAAAAAAAAAAAUUUGCAACGUGGUGAGUACUACGGUUGGAGCAUAACAGGAGAAUUUUCCAGAAUUCAAGACGGGAUGUUGGGAAGCUUGUUGUUGGAGAUCAGAGUGCUCAGAGAUUUGUGGGAACGGUCUUGUACCUGAAUUGCAUUGUUUUUCUUCCCUCUCUCUUUUUUGUCUUUCUUUCUUUCGUGCUCAUAGUUUUCCUUUCAUUUUUUCUUUUUUCUUGUUUUCUAUCUAUCGAGGCUCUGGUUGCCUCAAUUUGUAGCUAAGUUCACUUUCUAAUUAAAUGAAGCGGUAGCAUGCUACCUUUUCUUUAAAAAAAAAAAAAAGAACAAUUCUCAUAGGUAAGACUAUUAAAUUUAUCGUAAUUGUUUCUUUAAAAUUUGUGCAUUUGACUUCUAUUAGAUGUAACUAGUGUAGGUACCUGCGCGAUGCGGCGGAUAGUUACUGCUAAAAUAAAAAAUUUAUAAAUAAUAAAAUAUCAAUAUAACUAAAUAAAAUAUUAUUAUGUCAAAAAGGGUACAAUAUAGAUAAUUGUAUAGCAAUCGAUGCAACAGGAAAAAAAAUAUUUUAAGUAAAUCCUAAUUAGAGUAUAUAGAAAUAUACUAAUAUAUACAAUAUAGGGCUGGGGCUACUAUAUACUUUUAUGAGUAUAGAACCCCUUGUACUCAUAAAUUUUUAACCGUUGAUUGAUGGGAUGUGUGGUUAGGAUGAUGGUGAUCCCCACUUAGAAUGAUAGUGGUCCCCUAAGGUUGAGUGGGUAGUUGGUUGAAUAGUAUGAUCUAACGGGUGAAAAUGAUUAUGGAAUAAAUCUAAGGGCCGAAAACUUAUGAGUAUAAGGGAGCCAAUACUCAUAAAAGUAUAGUAGCCGGACUCUACAAUAUAGAUUGUUUAUUCAUUUAUUAGUCUGGAAGGUGUAAUAUAAUACGAACAAUAAUUGUGCAAGUAACAUAUAGCAUUUCUAUAACACAUAGCAUUUCAAAAUGUCACUUAUCCAUGCCAAAUCGCUCAAAUUGAACCAAAAAAAUUCUAAUUAACCUCAAAAUAUUGCUAAUUCUCGCCAAAUCACUCAAAUAUAUAUAAAAAAAUUGUUAUAUUUUUUAAAAAAAUACUAACGGAUGGGAUCGGUGGCAUGGAAAUUGCAAAGGCGAAAUGUGUAGAGAAAAAUCAGCGUGAGAACAUUCAAAUAGAAUUAAUCUUGUAAUGAUUGAUACUGAGAGCCUAAAUUUAAAAUCUAAUUCUUUUACAUAUUAGGUAAAUAUAUUUUAAAAUUUCAUAAAAAAAUUAACAAAAUGAAAGAAUGAAACGGUGGCUAUGAAUAAUUGGUCUAGUAAUCAAUUAUGAUUAUAAUUAUCAUUAAUUGAUGAAAUGUUAAUAUACAAAUAAUUGAUGAAAUAUUAAUGAAUCAUAUACUAUACGGCCAAGAACGUAUAGUUAGGGAGGAGAGGGGAGGGGAAGGGGUGGAGGAGAGAGAGUUAUUACAAAAAAAAAAAUAGAAUUAAUAAAUGAAACAUUAUAAUUAAUAUGAGGGGAAGGGGUGGGAGAGAGAGAGUUAUUACAAAAAAAAAAGAGAAAGAAUUAAUAGAUGAAACAUUAUAAUUAAUAGGUGAAACGUUAAUAUAGAAUUAAUUGAUAAAACAUUAAUGAAUUAUAUAGGAGAGGGGUUAAUAGAUUAUUAUAUUAUAUUAUAUAUUAUUAUUAUUAUGAAGAUGAAGGGUUUCUUGCCACGUGGCAAGAAAUAUUGUGGCUUUAUUUAGGUUAAUAGGUGGUCAUAUAAGAAAUGUCAAUAUUAAAUUUUUAUUCAGGCUAGUCAAUCAAUUUAUGUUUAUUUUUUUUUUCAAAAAAUGCCAAUUAUGAAAAAUGGAAGGUAAGGACAUACAAAACUCACUUAAAAAUAUAAAAUAUUUUGAAUUGAUUAUCCAAUCUUUCAAAAUUUUAUUUUUACUAUUCAAUAUUUUAAUUUAUUUGAUUAGAACCAACCAACGACACUUCGAUUUCAAAAUAUAAACUAAUUUAUUACUUUAAUAAGCUUAUAAUACAAAAAUUACCUAAAAUAUGCUAAAUAAAUCUGUAAAUAUAAAUAAAUUUUUUAAAUUUUGAAGUAAAAUAUCGUUGACUGAAGGCAUUUAGCUCUCCCACUAUUUUUUUUUUUUUUUGAGAGAGAUAGGUAGCAUGCUGCCCGCUCCGUUUAUUUCAUUUAGAAAUAAACUUAGCUCGAAAUAUAAAUCAACUAGGAUUUGAAUUUGAGUUUCGGGUACCAACCAUCAAGCCCUUUGCCGCUUGCUCUAGGGACGGUCGGUCUCUCCCACUUUAUAAUAGCCCACGGAGCGGACGGUGUCGAUGUUCCGACCAUAAUUCUUAACACAUUUUCACUUAACCCCCUCGGCAAUUGUGUUAUUAGUAUGAAACCCCAUCCAGCUCCGAUUCUCAUAGAAUUUUUUUUUACAGUAAUUCUAUUAAAAUUUUUAAUGUGUCAAAUAAUUUUUUCAAAAUUUUAUUUGAUCAACUAACUUGAGAAAUACAAUGAAGUAUUUACCGCCUUCAGAGAGAAGCGGUGAAUGAUUCGUCAUUUUUAUAUUAUUUUUAUAAAAAUUGUAAGAAUUUUUUUAAGUUAUUAAAAUUAUAUGAGGAUUAUCUAAGUUUUAUUUAUAAUUAAAAUUAUAUAAAUAGAUUGUUAGAAUAUUUUAAGUUAUUAAGAUUAUACGUAAUUUAUUAAAAUUUUAUAUAAUUAUUAAAAUUAUAUAUAGAAAUUGAAAGAAACAAUAAAUUAUUCUUCAUUUUGUAUUUGUUUAAAAAAUA
rnacentral:lncRNA from 1 species